rnacentral:rRNA from 1 species
UACGGAGGGGGCAAGCGUUAUUCGGAAUUAUUGGGCGUAAAGGGCGCGUAGGCGGCCUGAUAAGUCAGGGGUGAAAUCCCUCGGCUCAACCGAGGAACUGCCUCUGAAACUGUCAGGCUUGAGGCCGGGAGAGGGUAGUGGAAUUCCCAGUGUAGCGGUGAAAUGCGUAGAUAUUGGGAGGAACACCAGUGGCGAAAGCGGCUACCUGGACCGGUUCUGACGCUGAGGCGCGAAAGCGUGGGGAGCAAACAGG